rnacentral:antisense_RNA from 8 species
AAUAACCAAAUAUAACACUUGGGCUAAGAGUCAAGUUGGUAAUUUUUGUUACAUCUCCCCUUCGGGAGCCCAGGUAUCAUAUACACCUCCAAAAUAAAGAGCCUUGAAUACUAGAAGAACAACACUUAUACCUAACAAAAUUAAGUGAAUACCCAAAAUUAUGGUUAUUUUAUUUAUAUCUUUCCG